GUUAGGAAUAUUGGACAAUGGGCGCAAGCCUGAUCCAGCCAUGCCGCGUGAGUGAAGAAGGCCUUUUGGUUGUAAAGCACUUUAAGCGAGGAGGAGGCUACCGAGAUUAAUACUCUUGGAUAGUGGACGUUACUCGCAGAAUAAGCACCGGCUAACUCUGUGCCAGCAGCCGCGGUAAUACAGAGGGUGCAAGCGUUAAUCGGAUUUACUGGGCGUAAAGCGCGCGUAGGUGGCCAAUUAAGUCAAAUGUGAAAUCCCCGAGCUUAACUUGGGAAUUGCAUUCGAUACUGGUUGGCUAGAGUAUGGGAGAGGAUGGUAGAAUUCCAGGUGUAGCGGUGAAAUGCGUAGAGAUCUGGAGGAAUACCGAUGGCGAAGGCAGCCAUCUGGCCUAAUACUGACACUGAGGUGCGAAAGCAUGGGGAGCAAACAGGAUUAGAUACCCCUGUAGUCC
rnacentral:rRNA from 1 species